rnacentral:lncRNA from 1 species
UAGAAGAUAAUUUUUACUGUAUUUAUCAAGAUUUACGCAUUAAAAUCAAAUAAAAAGAAUCCCAUUGUUCAAACAUGUCUAAACUUAAUUAAUCUCAAGUGUAAAAGAGUAAUGGUCUCCACAGAUAAAGAGGUGUGGCAGGGAGAGAGUGGGCGCAGGACAAUGUGGAUCCAUGAUUUAAAUUUGAUAGGAGAAAUAUUUAUGCUCUCACUUCUCCCCACGAAAUUCAUUACACAUUUGCAAGCAUCCCACCUUCAUCCUUAAGAAGGGCCGCACCCCCAGCGGGUUCAAAUUUAGUAUAGUCGGCGUUCGGCGAGGUAGAGGGAGGCCUAAAAAGUGUUGGGGAGAGGUGAUUAGGCAUGACAUGGCUAGAAUGCGGGUUUCCGAGUACAUGACCCUUGAUAGGAAAGUCUGGAGGUCUAGUAUCAGGGUUGUAGGAUAGGGGCCCCUAGAGUUUUCGAUUAGGCAUGACAUGGCUAGAAUGCGGGUUUCCGAGUACAUGACCCUUGAUAGGAAAGUCUGGAGGUCUAGUAUCAGGUUGUAGGAUAGGGGCUCCUACAGUUUUUCGUACUCCUUACCCGGGUUGGAUGAGGGUUGGCAGGGCUAUCCAUAGAUGAUUUAUGUUUUGGCUUGUGUCUGCCUUAUGGUAGUUAUUUAUAGUAAUUACUGUAUUAUAUUAUUGCAUGAUAUUUUAUUUAUGUUUCUUAUGUUUAGAUAAGAAACUAAUGCUCUUUUGUUUUUGUUUUUGUUUUUCCUUCCUUCACUGAGCCGAGGGUCGAUUGGA